rnacentral:rRNA from 1 species
UACGUAGGGUCCGAGCGUUGUCCGGAAUUAUUGGGCGUAAAGGGCUCGUAGGCGGUUUGUCGCGUCUGCCGUGAAAACUGGAGGCUCAACCUCCAGCCUGCGGUGGGUACGGGCAAACUAGAGUGCGGUAGGGGAGAUUGGAAUUCCUGGUGUAGCGGUGGAAUGCGCAGAUAUCAGGAGGAACACCGAUGGCGAAGGCAGGUCUCUGGGCAUUAACUGACGCUGAGGAGCGAAAGCAUGGGGAGCGAACAGG